UGGACCUACAAAACAAUCCAGGCAGAAGGCUCCAACAACAGCAUGGAAACAAACAGCAAAGAAAGGAUUCAGCUGGGUGUGUGACACGCCCCUGUCAUCUCAGCACCUACAAAGCUGAGGCCAGAGAACUACCACAAGUUCGAGGGUCUCACUGUACAACUUUGGCUGUCCUCAAAACUAUAAUGCUAUGCCUCCUGAGUGCUGGGAUUAAAGUACAUUGAAGACAAAAACUGAACGGAGUAGGGAAAUGGAAAGACUGACCGAUCCACACAUUACAAAUCUAAAUUUAAAAGACUCAAACAAUGUUGGAGUUAAAACAUGUUUGUGAAAACAAGAAGUUGGGGGUGGCUCAAAGAACUUCCAAUGUUUUUACCAUGUUUACUUAAAAUGAAACCUACUUCUCCCUAAAGUUAACUGUUGAAUUAUGACCGAAUAAUAUUUAU